AUUGAACGCUGGCGGCAGGCCUAACACAUGCAAGUCGAGUGGAUGAAGGGAGCUUGCUCCUGGAUCCAGCGGCGGACGGGUGAGUAAUGCCUAGGAAUCUGCCUGGUAGUGGGGGAUAACGUCCGGAAACGGGCGCUAAUACCGCAUACGUCCUGAGGGAGAAAGUGGGGGAUCUUCGGACCUCACGCUAUCAGAUGAGCCUAGGUCGGAUUAGCUAGUUGGUGGGGUAAAGGCCUACCAAGGCGACGAUCCGUAACUGGUCUGAGAGGAUGAUCAGUCACACUGGAACUGAGACACGGUCCAGACUCCUACGGGAGGCAGCAGUGGGGAAUAUUGGACAAUGGGCGAAAGCCUGAUCCAGCCAUGCCGCGUGUGUGAAGAAGGUCUUCGGAUUGUAAAGCACUUUAAGUUGGGAGGAAGGGCAGUAAGUUAAUACCUUGCUGUUUUGACGUUACCAACAGAAUAAGCACCGGCUAACUUCGUG
rnacentral:rRNA from 1 species